rnacentral:rRNA from 1 species
GACGAACGCUGGCGGCGUGCUUAACACAUGCAAGUCGAACGCUGAAGCUCAGCUUUUGUUGGGUGGAUGAGUGGCGAACGGGUGAGUAACACGUGAGUAACCUGCCCCCUUCUUUGGGAUAACGCCCGGAAACGGGUGCUAAUACUGGAUAUUCACUGGUCUUCGCAUGGGGGUUGGUGGAAAGGGUUUUUCUGGUGGGGGAUGGGCUCGCGGCCUAUCAGCUUGUUGGUGGGGUGAUGGCGUACCAAGGCUUUGACGGGUAGCCGGCCUGAGAGGGUGACCGGUCACAUUGGGACUGAGAUACGGCCCAGACUCCUACGGGAGGCAGCAGUGGGGAAUAUUGCACAAUGGGCGCAAGCCUGAUGCAGCGACGCCGCGUGAGGGAUGGAGGCCUUCGGGUUGUGAACCUCUUUCGCUCAUGGUCAAGCCGCAACAAUGGUUGUGGUGAGGGUAGUGGGUAAAGAAGCGCCGGCUAACUACGUG